rnacentral:lncRNA from 1 species
AUAUUUUAGACCGUUCUUCUUUACAAGUAAAACUAAAAUGGCGUCAGCUGGAGAGUCCUUCUGUGAGUCAUCUGGAGGAUCUUGAUGGGCGGAUCUCCGAAAGAGAAGAGCAGAUGGAGCUCUGCACUAUGAUCCUGAACGACCUGCUGGAAAUUCAGAAAAUAGUUGCUAAAAGAGGACUUGAAAAUACAACAUUUAAACCAGAUAACUGAGCUGCUUGUUAAAUUAUGAUCUGAAACUUCUGCGUAUGAAUAAAGUCUUGAAAUGAAUUCUUGAUAUUAA